rnacentral:sRNA from 1 species
GACUGCCAUCAAAUCCCUGUCCCGACACUUGAUCUCCCUCGGAGACCUCCAUCGCUACAAAAGUUUGAUCGACGGAUCGGAGAAUUACGAAAUUUCGAAAAGGUAUGGGUCUCGCCGCGAAAUUGGAUGUUUUGGGUUACUGUAGCUAUAGUUUCAGCUGUGUCGAGAUAUGCUAUUUUACGUUAAAUGUCUAGUCUUCGUUGGAAUUAUAGUAAUAUUCGAAUUGCUACGUCGAUUAAUGGGAUUUUUUCUGGUUUUGAAAUUUUUUGUUUUUUGGGUCCCGCCAAGAAAAUUAAGAUUUUGGGUUACUGUAGCUGUAGUUUCAGAUGUGACGGUGUAAAUAUCCUGAAUUUUUGCAUUUCAGCUUAUAAGUCAAGCUGAAACAACAUUUUUUUUUAGGCCAAAAAGUAAAAAAAAACCUAAUUUUUUCGGGUCCCGCCACGAUUACUGUACUUUUUCACCAUUUUUUACAGUUGCUACCAAAAAUCGUCACAAUUAUGGCCGAGCACUGGACAUCCGUACAAUCAACUCGGUAUUGUGGUAUAUUACUCG